rnacentral:rRNA from 1 species
AUUGAACGCUGGCGGCAGGCCUAACACAUGCAAGUCGAACGGUAACAGGAAGAAGCUUGCUUCUUUGCUGACGAGUGGCGGCCGGGUGAGUAAUGUCUGGGAAACUGCCUGAUGGAGGGGGAUAACUACUGGAAACGGUCGCUGAUACCGCAUAACGUCGCAAGACCAAAGAGGGGGACCUUCGGGCCUCUUGCCAUCGGAUGUGCCCAGAUGGGAUUAGCUAGUAGGUGGGGUAACGGCUCACCUAGGCGACGAUCCCUAGCUGGUCUGAGAGGAUGACCAGCCACACUGGAACUGAAACACGGUCCAGACACCUAAGGGAGGCAGCAGUGGGGAAUAUUGCACAAUGGGCGGAAGCCUGAUGCAACCAUGCCGCGUGUAUGAAGAAGGCCUUCGGGUUGUAAAGUACUUUCAGCGGGGAGGAAGGGAGUAAAGUUAAUACCUUUGCUCAUUGACGUUACCCGCAGAAGAAGCACCGGCUAACUCCGUG